GAUGAACGCUAGCUACAGGCUUAACACAUGCAAGUCGAGGGGUAACAAGAGGAAAGCUUGCUUUCCUUGUUGACGACCGGCGCACGGGUGAGUAACGCGUAUCCAACCUGCCUAUAACUAGGGAAUAACCUUGCGAAAGUAAGACUAAUACCCUAUGAUUUCCUUUGAUGACAUCAGAUUAGGAAUAAAGAUUUAUCGGUUAUAGAUGGGGAUGCGUCUGAUUAGCUUGUUGGAGGGGUAACGGCCCACCAAGGCAACGAUCAGUAGGGGUUCUGAGAGGAAGGUCCCCCACAUUGGAACUGAGACACGGUCCAAACUCCUACGGGAGGCAGCAGUGAGGAAUAUUGGUCAAUGGGCGGAAGCCUGAACCAGCCAAGUAGCGUGCAGGAUGACGGCCCUAUGGGUUGUAAACUGCUUUUAUACAGGAAUAAAGUUAGCCACGUGUGGUUAUUUGUAGGUACUGUAUGAAUAAGGACCGGCUAAUUCCGUGCCAGCAGCCGCGGUAA
rnacentral:rRNA from 1 species